GACGAACGCUGGCGGCGUGCUUAACACAUGCAAGUCGAACGGAAAGGCCCUGCUUUUGUGGGGUGCUCGAGUGGCGAACGGGUGAGUAACACGUGAGUAACCUGCCCUUGACUUUGGGAUAACUUCAGGAAACUGGGGUUAAUACCGGAUAGGAGCCCCUGCUGCAUGGUGGGGGUGGGAAAGUUUCGGCGGUUGGGGAUGGACUCGCGGCUUAUCAGCGUGUUGGUGGGGUAGUGGCUUACCAAGGCUUUGACGGGUAGCCGGCCUGGGAGGGUGACCGGCCACAUUGGGACUGAGAGACGGCCCAGACUCCUACGGGAGGCAGCAGUGGGGAGUAUUACACAAUGGGCGGAAGCCUGAUGCGGCAACGCCGCGUGCGGGAUGACGGCCUUCGGGUUGUAAACCGCUUUCGCCUGUGACGAAGCGUGAGUGACGGUAAUGGGUGAAGAAGCACCGGCUAACUACGUG
rnacentral:rRNA from 1 species